rnacentral:tRNA from 1 species
UGAAGAGACCGGAAUAUUAUUAAGCUGCUAACUUAAUUAUGGGGGUUCGAUUCCUUCCUCUUCAU